rnacentral:rRNA from 1 species
CGAAGGGGGCUAGCGUUGCUCGGAAUUACUGGGCGUAAAGGGCGCGUAGGCGGCUCUGUUAGUCAGGCGUGAAAUUCCUGGGCUCAACCUGGGGGACUGCGCUUGAUACGGGCGGGGCUUGAGGACGGAAGAGGGUCGCGGAAUUCCCAGUGUAGAGGUGAAAAUUCGUAGAUAUUGGGGAAGAACACCGGUGGCGAAGGCGGCGACCUGGUCCAUUACUGACGCUGAGGCGCGACAGCGUGGGGGAGCAAACAGGAUU